rnacentral:rRNA from 1 species
AUUGAACGCUGGCGGCAGGCCUAACACAUGCAAGUCGAACAGUGGCGGACGGGUGAGUAACGCGUAGGUAACUACCUAUUAGAGGGGGAUAACUAUUGGAAACGAUAGCUAAUACCGCAUAUUAGUAGAUGGACCUGCGUUGUAUUAGCUAGGAGGUAGGGUAACGGCCUACCUAGGCAACGAUACAUAGCCGGCCUGAGAAGGUGGACGGCCCCACAGGGACUGGGACACGGGCCAGACUCCUACGGGAGGCAGCAGUAGGGGAUCUUCGGCAAUGGGGGGAACCCUGACCGCGCAACGCCGCGGGAGUGAAGAAGGUUUUCGGAUCGUAAAACUCUGUUGUUAAGGAAGCGGUACUUAACCAGAAAGGGACGGCUAACUACGUGCCAGCAGCCGCGGUAAUUC